AAAACACAAAAUUAUUACAAGUGGCAAGUAAGAAGAGGUCGUUGGGAUUGUCAGUCUGCAGCUUCUACUCUGUCAGAAAGCUCACAAAUCGAAACAAACCGAACCGAAACCAAAAAUCCCAAUUCCAAAACCCUAAUUUCACAAAACCAUUUUCAGAUCUAUCCAUGGCUUCCUCGAAGCUCAUGCCUUCAUCAAAUUCAAUCAAUUCAGAUCAACCUUCAUCACCAUCUUCCAAAUCUCAUUUCACCACCACCAAUUUCCUCCCUAUUUCCGACAAUUCACCUUUCCUCAACGAUCAACCUUCUCUCGCUGACGCCGUCGCUACUCCUAGAACCGUCGAUGAUGUCUGGAGGGAGAUCGUUGCUGGAGAUAAUAGGGAGUGUAAGGAAGAGAUCUCUGAUGAGAUGAUGACACUGGAAGAUUUUCUUGUGAAAGCUGGUGCUGUUGAUGAUGAAGAUGAAGGUGAUGAUGAUGUUAAGAUGACGAUACCGUUGUCGGAGACGCUUAGUGGUAGUGGUAUGUUUUCGUUGGAUCCUAGUUUUCAGGGAAUUGAGAGUGUUGAAGGGUCGGUGAUAGGGUUUGGGAAUGGAAAUGUGAAUGGGAAUGGGAAUGGAGUGGAAGUGGUUGAAGGUGGUGGGAGGGGGAAGAGAGGAAGACCUGUUUUGGAGCAGUUGGAUAAGGCUGCUCAGCAGAGACAGAGGAGAAUGAUCAAAAAUAGAGAAUCUGCUGCUAGGUCUAGGGAACGCAAGCAGGCUUAUCAAGUUGAAUUGGAGACGUUGGCGGUGAAGCUAGAGGAGGAAAAUUACAAGUUGUUGAAGGAAAAGGCUGAAAGGAAAAAGGAGAGGUUAAAGCAGGUUGCCUGUAUAUGAUAUGGAAAAUCAAGAAUAGGAAAGUCAACCUGAUUCUCAUACGCUGAAAGAUUUAAGAGAUGCAAAAAGAUUUAGUUUGGCAACUUAUGGAAAAUGUAAUUCCUGUUGUGGAGCAGCGAAGGCCGCCGCGGUUACUCCGUAGGGUUCGCUCAUUGCAGUGGUAGAUCAUAUUUGCUAGUGGUGCCGGAUGUGAACUGAAUUUCCACCAUUGAUGUGUGUGAGAAAUAAUAAAAUGGGCAAACUAUUAAUAAUUAGAAGAGAUAGCCACAGCUAAUGAUUAGAAGAGAUAGAAGGAAUUGGAACCUGAAUGGUGAAGGGAAAUACCUAUUGCAUAAGAAAUGUCUUUUGCUUGUUUCAAGCAGAUAAAGGCAGAAUUAUGGAGUUUGAUGUAGUUUAGAUACAAAGUAGACAUCCCGGUCUCACCUCUGCGCAGAAUGCAAAUGUAAUGCUUGUAGAGAGCAAAGGGGAUUGCAGACGACUAUGUAAUGUAGUCACGGUUUAGAGAGAUGGUAUUAUUAUUUAGGUAAAAUAUAUAUAUAUAGAAAUUAUUUAUGUGA